rnacentral:rRNA from 1 species
AUUGAACGCUGGCGGCAGGCCUAACACAUGCAAGUCGAGCGAGCGGCGGACGGGUGAGGAAUGUAUGGGGACUGCCCGUUAGAGGGGGAUAACUACUGGAAAAGGUGACUAAUAACGCAUACUGACGGAUAAGCCAUAUUGGAGUAGCUAGUAGGUAAGGGAAAGGCUUACCCAGGCGACGAUCACUAGCUGGUCUGAGAGGAUGAUCAGCCACACUGGGACUGAGACACGGCCCAGACUCCUACGGAGGCAUCAGUGGGGAAUAUUGCACAAUGGGCGCAAGCCUGAUGCAGCCAUGCCGCGUGUAUGAAGAAGGCCCUAGGGUUGUAAAGUACUUUCAGUCGGGAGGCGUUACCGACAGAAGAAGCACCGGCUAACUCCGUGCCAGCAGCCGCGGUAAUUC